UGAGACACGGCCCAAACUCCUACGGGAGGCAGCAGUAGGGAAUCUUCCACAAUGGACGCAAGUCUGAUGGAGCAACGCCGCGUGAGUGAAGAAGGCUUUCGGGUCGUAAAACUCUGUUGUUGGAGAAGAAUGGUCGGCAGAGUAACUGUUGUCGGCGUGACGGUAUCCAACCAGAAAGCCACGGCUAACUACGUGCCAGCAGCCGCGGUAAUACGUAGGUGGCAAGCGUUAUCCGGAUUUAUUGGGCGUAAAGCGAGCGCAGGCGGUUUUUUAAGUCUGAUGUGAAAGCCCUCGGCUUAACCGAGGAAGCGCAUCGGAAACUGGGAAACUUGAGUGCAGAAGAGGACAGUGGAACUCCAUGUGUAGCGGUGAAAUGCGUAGAUAUAUGGAAGAACACCAGUGGCGAAGGCGGCUGUCUGGUCUGUAACUGACGCUGAGGCUCGAAAGCAUGGGUAGCGAACAGGAUUAGAUACCCUGGUAGUCCAUGCCGUAAACGAUGAAUGCUAGGUGUUUGGAGGGUUUCCGCCCCUUCAGUGCCGCAGCCUAACGCAUUUAAGCAUUCCGCCCUGGGGGAGUACGACCGCCAGGGUUGAAACUCCAAAGGAUUUGACGGGGGGCCCGCACAAGCGGGGGAACCAUGUGGGUUU
rnacentral:rRNA from 1 species